rfam:Natranaerobius trueperi strain DSM 18760 ZB100015, whole genome shotgun sequence.
GUGGAGGUGACUCUAUCAUCUGAAGGAAGUAAGCGGCAAAUUUUCGCCCCGAGGGACACGAAUCUCAUACAAGGCUAGGCAACACUGGAUUAGUCUGCACAUCAAGACAAAGUCCUUACUACCUGGGGAGAAUCUGCUGGAACGCCACAGAUAAGAGGUAAGCAUGGUCGAGAGACUAUGUU